UACGGAGGGUGCGAGCGUUGUCCGGAAUCACUGGGCGUAAAGGGCGCGUAGGCGGCGCGGAUAGUCGGCGGUGAAAGCCCGGAGCUCAACUCCGGGUCGGCCGUCGAUACUUCCGGGCUUGAGCACUGUAGAGGCAGAUGGAAUUCCGGGUGUAGCGGUGGAAUGCGUAGAGAUCCGGAAGAACACCGGUGGCGAAGGCGGUCUGCUGGGCAGUUGCUGACGCUGAGGAGCGGAAAGCGUGGGGAGCAAACAGG
rnacentral:rRNA from 1 species